AUUGAACGCUGGCGGCAUGCCUUACACAUGCAAGUCGAACGGUAACAGGUCUUCGGAUGCUGACGAGUGGCGAACGGGUGAGUAAUACAUCGGAACGUGCCUAGUAGUGGGGGAUAACUACUCGAAAGAGUGGCUAAUACCGCAUGAGAUCUACGGAUGAAAGCAGGGGAUCGCAAGACCUUGUGCUACGAGAGCGGCCGAUGGCAGAUUAGGUAGUUGGUGGGAUAAAAGCUUACCAAGCCGACGAUCUGUAGCUGGUCUGAGAGGACGAUCAGCCACACUGGGACUGAGACACGGCCCAGACUCCUACGGGAGGCAGCAGUGGGGAAUUUUGGACAAUGGGUGCAAGCCUGAUCCAGCAAUGCCGCGUGCAGGAUGAAGGCCUUCGGGUUGUAAACUGCUUUUGUACGGAACGAAAAGCCCCGGGUUAAUACCCUGGGGUCAUGACGGUACCGUAAGAAUAAGCACCGGCUAACUACGUGCCAGCCGCCGCCGUAA
rnacentral:rRNA from 1 species